rnacentral:rRNA from 1 species
GGGUUGUGAGGUUAAGCGACUAAGCGUACACGGUGGAUGCCCUGGCAGUCAGAGGCGAUGAAGGACGUGCUAAUCUGCGAUAAGCGUCGGUAAGGUGAUAUGAACCGUUAUAACCGGCGAUUUCCGAAUGGGGAAACCCAGUGUGWUUCGWCACACUAUCAUUAACUGAAUCCAUAGGUUAAUGAGGCGAACCGGGGGAACUGAAACAUCUAAGUACCCCGAGGAAAAGAAAUCAACCGAGAUUCCCCCAGUAGCGGCGAGCGAACGGGGAGCAGCCCAGAGCCUGAAUCAGUGUGUGUGUUAGUGGAAGCGUCUGGAAAGGCGCGCGAUACAGGGUGACAGCCCCGUACACAAAAAUGCACAUGCUGUGAGCUCGAUGAGUAGGGCGGGACACGUGGUAUCCUGUCUGAAUAUGGGGGGACCAUCCUCCAAGGCUAAAUACUCCUGACUGACCGAUAGUGAACCAGUACCGUGAGGGAAAGGCGAAAAGAACCCCGGCGAGGGGAGUGAAAAAGAACCUGAAACCGUGUACGUACAAGCAGUGGGAGCACGCUUAGGCGUGUGACUGCGUACCUUUUGUAUAAUGGGUCAGCGACUUAUAUUCUGUAGCAAGGUUAACCGAAUAGGGGAGCCGAAGGGAAACCGAGUCUUAACUGGGCGUUAAGUUGCAGGGUAUAGACCCGAAACCCGGUGAUCUAGCCAUGGGCAGGUUGAAGGUUGGGUAACACUAACUGGAGGACCGAACCGACUAAUGUUGAAAAAUUAGCGGAUGACUUGUGGCUGGGGGUGAAAGGCCAAUCAAACCGGGAGAUAGCUGGUUCUCCCCGAAAGCUAUUUAGGUAGCGCCUCGUGAAUUCAUCUCCGGGGGUAGAGCACUGUUUCGGCAAGGGGGUCAUCCCGACUUACCAACCCGAUGCAAACUGCGAAUACCGGAGAAUGUUAUCACGGGAGACACACGGCGGGUGCUAACGUCCGUCGUGAAGAGGGAAACAACCCAGACCGCCAGCUAAGGUCCCAAAGUCAUGGUUAAGUGGGAAACGAUGUGGGAAGGCCCAGACAGCCAGGAUGUUGGCUUAGAAGCAGCCAUCAUUUAAAGAAAGCGUAAUAGCUCACUGGUCGAGUCGGCCUGCGCGGAAGAUGUAACGGGGCUAAACCAUGCACCGAAGCUGCGGCAGCGACGCUUAUGCGUUGUUGGGUAGGGGAGCGUUCUGUAAGCCUGUGAAGGUGUACUGUGAGGUAUGCUGGAGGUAUCAGAAGUGCGAAUGCUGACAUAAGUAACGAUAAAGCGGGUGAAAAGCCCGCUCGCCGGAAGACCAAGGGUUCCUGUCCAACGUUAAUCGGGGCAGGGUGAGUCGACCCCUAAGGCGAGGCCGAAAGGCGUAGUCGAUGGGAAACAGGUUAAUAUUCCUGUACUUGGUGUUACUGCGAAGGGGGGACGGAGAAGGCUAUGUUGGCCGGGCGACGGUUGUCCCGGUUUAAGCGUGUAGGCUGGUUUUCCAGGCAAAUCCGGAAAAUCAAGGCUGAGGCGUGAUGACGAGGCACUACGGUGCUGAAGCAACAAAUGCCCUGCUUCCAGGAAAAGCCUCUAAGCAUCAGGUAACAUCAAAUCGUACCCCAAACCGACACAGGUGGUCAGGUAGAGAAUACCAAGGCGCUUGAGAGAACUCGGGUGAAGGAACUAGGCAAAAUGGUGCCGUAACUUCGGGAGAAGGCACGCUGAUAUGUAGGUGAAGUYSCUCGCGGAUGGAGCUGAAAUCAGUCGAAGAUACCAGCUGGCUGCAACUGUUUAUUAAAAACACAGCACUGUGCAAACACGAAAGUGGACGUAUACGGUGUGACGCCUGCCCGGUGCCGGAAGGUUAAUUGAUGGGGUCAGCGCAAGCGAAGCUCUUGAUCGAAGCCCCGGUAAACGGCGGCCGUAACUAUAACGGUCCUAAGGUAGCGAAAUUCCUUGUCGGGUAAGUUCCGACCUGCACGAAUGGCGUAAUGAUGGCCAGGCUGUCUCCACCCGAGACUCAGUGAAAUUGAACUCGCUGUGAAGAUGCAGUGUACCCGCGGCAAGACGGAAAGACCCCGUGAACCUUUACUAUAGCUUGACACUGAACAUUGAGCCUUGAUGUGUAGGAUAGGUGGGAGGCUUUGAAGUGUGGACGCCAGUCUGCAUGGAGCCGACCUUGAAAUACCACCCUUUAAUGUUUGAUGUUCUAACGUGGACCCGUAAUCCGGGUUGCGGACAGUGUCUGGUGGGUAGUUUGACUGGGGCGGUCUCCUCCUAAAGAGUAACGGAGGAGCACGAAGGUUGGCUAAUCCUGGUCGGACAUCAGGAGGUUAGUGCAAUGGCAUAAGCCAGCUUGACUGCGAGCGUGACGGCGCGAGCAGGUGCGAAAGCAGGUCAUAGUGAUCCGGUGGUUCUGAAUGGAAGGGCCAUCGCUCAACGGAUAAAAGGUACUCCGGGGAUAACAGGCUGAUACCGCCCAAGAGUUCAUAUCGACGGCGGUGUUUGGCACCUCGAUGUCGGCUCAUCACAUCCUGGGGCUGAAGUAGGUCCCAAGGGUAUGGCUGUUCGCCAUUUAAAGUGGUACGCGAGCUGGGUUUAGAACGUCGUGAGACAGUUCGGUCCCUAUCUGCCGUGGGCGCUGGAGAAYUGAGGGGGGCUGCUCCUAGUACGAGAGGACCGGAGUGGACGCAUCACUGGUGUUCGGGUUGUCAUGCCAAUGGCACUGCCCGGUAGCUAAAUGCGGAAGAGAUAAGUGCUGAAAGCAUCUAAGCACGAAACUUGCCCCGAGAUGAGUUCUCCCUGACUCCUUGAGAGUCCUGAAGGAACGUUGAAGACGACGACGUUGAUAGGCCGGGUGUGUAAGCGCAGCGAUGCGUUGAGCUAACCGGUACUAAUGAACCGUGAGGCUUAACCUUACAACGCCGAAG